UUGGAAAACAUUUCACCAUCAUGAAAAAUAGUUCUUGAUACAUGAAAAAUAUUGUAACAAACAGAUAAAAAUGAGAAGAGCAAGAAGGAGUCCUAAUCAAGGUAUGAGAUCCAAAAACUACUCAAUAGUGAGGAGAGAGAGUAGUAGUUCAGAAUCUUCAGACCCCUGGAAAUGGUGUGUGCAGCAGGGGGAGUAGAAUGCUAUUGUGGUGGAGACAUAAGGAUAAGAAGGCUGUUACCAGUUUCUCAUGUGAGGAGCUUAGAAAUCUCCACUCCAUCCUAACAAGAAAAAGCUGAACAGACUAAAACAAACAAAAAACUCAGCAACUGUUCUUGGAUCACUAAGAGAGGGGAAUACCCAGGACAAACCACGGGCCUCAAGAUUGGAGAGAACAACAGAAAAAUACAGAGAAUAACAACUUACCAGAGCAGGGACUGGUGAGAGGAACCUGCUGUAAGAACCAGGGCCAAGGCAGGAAAACCUGAACUCUUGACUGACGAAUUACUGGAGGCUCAGCAUGGACUAGUCUGAGAGUUACAAAAUCCAGGGGACCUAGUCAUGGUGAGGCCCCCACAAUAUGUGAAAUUUACCUCCAGGAGCUCAACCAGAUUCCCACAGUAAAUAUCAGAGAAAAAUCCCCUUGAGCAUCAGGCAGAGGGAAAGGAACCAUUUUGAAGUACGCCAGAUCACUCUGUUCUCCUUAAAUAGGCCUGCCCUCAAGAGAAACUAAUCAGAGCCUAACUUGCUGGGGUUUUAUCAGAGCCUAACUGACAAGGUUAAAUACCCAAUUUCAACCACUCAAACCAACCUGUCACCUGGGGGACGGGAUGGGGGGAGGCUGAGAAACACUUGUGAAUUUCAGAGCACAGAGGCACAGGCGCAGUAUAAGACUGAGACCUAAUCAUAGGACCAUACAAUAUGCCCCUCCCCAGUACCUCACCACCUCAUUGGUAAAGGCCAAUUUACAGCAAGUCAUGUCUAUCUAUCAAGAAAAAAUAAGGCAUUCCAAAGGCCAAAAGCACAAUUUGGAGAGACAGAGCAGCAUCAGAAUCAGACAUAGCAUGGGUGUUGGAAUUAUCAGACUGGGAAGUUUUUAAACUGUGAUUAAUAUGCUAAGAAUUCUACUGGAUAAAGUAGACAGUAUGCAAGAACACAUGAACAAUGUAAGCAGAAAGAUAGAAAUCCUUAAGAAAAAAACGAAAAGAUAUGAUGAAGAUAAAAAAGCUGUAACAGAAAUAAAGAAUGCAUUUGGAGGCA